UACGUAGGGUGCGAGCGUUAAUCGGAAUUACUGGGCGUAAAGUGUGCGCAGGCGGCGUUGCAAGUCGAGUGUGAAAUCCCCGAGCUUAACUUGGGAAUUGCGCUCGAAACUACGAUGCUCGAGUAUGGCAGAGGAAGGUGGAAUUCCACGUGUAGCGGUGAAAUGCGCAGAUAUCAGGAGGAACACCGAUGGCGAAGGCAGGUCUCUGGGCAUUAACUGACGCUGGAGGAGCGAAAAGCAUGGGGAGCGAACAGG
rnacentral:rRNA from 1 species